CGCUUGCUCAGACGGUUGUUCGAUG
rnacentral:miRNA from 1 species